GAAGAGCGAGAGUCUGCGUCCCAAAUUACACACUAUUCCCUAUUUAGGCUGGUGCACUGGCUCAAAAGUAGUGCACUAUGUAGGAAAUGGUGCACUAUGUAGGGAGUUCUGGGACACAGCCAUCGUGUCGUCAUCAGUGAAUAAUGCAGAGGAUGUGAACAGAGAGGAGUGCCAAAUUGCAACCUAUUUUCUUUAUAGUGCCCUACUUUUAACCAGAGCCCUGAUCAAAGGUAGUGCACUAUAAAGGGAAUAGGGUGCCAUUUUUGACAGCCAGAGAGAGAGGAGGAAGAAACCCAAUCCCAUGGAUCUGAGCCACAGCCAUUUCCCUUCUCUUCCCUUGAUUCAUUGUUGAAGUACUGUGUGUGUGUCAGUGUUGGGUCAGAGGAAGACAGAGCAGAGGCGAAGGGGCUGCGCUUCCUUCAUUUACAAACUCUGUCCUCCUUCCUUGUGUCGUGUGUGUGUGUGUGUGUGUGUGUGCGUUUACACGUUUUAAGUGUGAGAUAUAGGAACAUAAGUCUGUAAUGGAAAUCUACUGAGUGUGUUUGUCUUGUCUUUGAAAGAUAUGAUUGACAGUUAUUUAAUUUUUUUAUUCUCUCUCGUUCUCUCUCUGCUUUGCAUUUUAUCACUCAGCUAGUAAAUUUGUCCGUCUGGUUUUGUCUUUGGGCUCCAUGUCUGCUGAAAGCAUUUGUCUCACUCUUACCUCCCCCUCUCUCUGUCAGAGCCUUGUGGGUGGGACAAGGUUUUUGAGUGGCGCAGUGUGGUGUAGAGGAUUUGCGUGGUUUGAGUUGCGGCAGCAGUCAGACUAGGCUACACUAGAGCGACAUUGGGAUUGUUCUGUAACAGGGCUGUGAACAAGGCUGGGUGAAUUGGGGACAGGUGAAGCCCCGGUGUGACAGUGGGGUUGUUCUGUAACAGGGCUGUGAACAAGGCUGGGUGAAUUGGGGACAGGUGAAGCCCCGGUGUGACAGUGGGGUUGUUCUGUAACAGGGCUGUGAACAAGGCUGGGUGAAUUGGGGACAGGUGAAGCCCCUGUGUGACAGUGGGGUUGUUCUGUAACAGGGCUGUGAACAAGGCUGGGUGAAUUGGGGACAGGUGAAGCCCCGGUGUGACAGUGGGGUUGUUCUGUAACAGGGCCGUGAACAAGGCUGGGUGAAUUGGGGACAAGUGAAGCCCCUGUGUGACAGUGGGGUUGUUCUGUAACAGGGCCGUGAACAAGGCUGGGUGAAUUGGGGACAAGUGAAGCCCCUGUGUGACAGUGGGGUUGUUCUGUAACAGGGCCGUGAACAAGGCUGGGUGAAUUGGGGACAAGUGAAGCCCCGGUGUGACAGUGGGGUUGUUCUGUAACAGGGCCGUGAACAAGGCUGGGUGAAUUGGGGACAAGUGAAGCCCCGGUGUGACAGUGGGGUUGUUCUGUAACAGGGCCGUGAACAAGGCUGGGUGAAUUGGGGACAAGUGAAGCCCCUGUGUGACAGUGGGGUUGUUCUGUAACAGGGCCGUGAACAAGGCUGGGUGAAUUGGGGACAAGUGAAGCCCCGGUGUGACAGUGGGGUUGUUCUGUAACAGGGCCGUGAACAAGGCUGGGUGAAUUGGGGACAAGUGAAGCCCCGGUGUGACAGUGGGGUUGUUCUGUAACAGGGCCGUGAACAAGGCUGGGUGAAUU
ensembl:lncRNA